rnacentral:sRNA from 1 species
GCCGGGCGUGGUGGCUCACACCUGUAAUCCCAGCACUUUGGGAGGCUGAGGCGGGUGGAUCACUUGAGGCCAGGAGUUCAAGACCAGCCUGGCCAACAAGGUGAAACCCUGUCUCUA